UCCAUUGCAAAGUCCCACAUCGGUACUACAAGGUAUUGUUGUGGGGUAUGUAUAGCCUUGGGAUCUCUCCCACCUUAACAUCUACCUUUUGGGGUACGGUUCUCCUAAGGUUAUAACAGUGGUAUCAGAGUCACCCAUCAGCCUUUGCGCUCACUGUGCCUGGGAUGGUGACAUCAGUAUGGUAGUGUUCGGCCGGGGCUAGAAAUGUUUAGCUCACAACCAUCGAGGCACCUGGGUACCUGACUCAAAAAGGGAAACCUGGGAAAGAGCUACCUACAUAAGUAGAGUGAAAGCUACCCACUUGACGGAUGCUGAUCGUGGUGGUUUGUUAUGAUCCAUUGCAACUCGGCGGAUGCAGAUCAUGGUGGUUUGUUAUGAUCCACUGUAAAGUUCCACUUCGGUACUACAAAGUAUUGUUGUGAGCUAUUUAUAGCCUUGGGCUCUCUCCUUCCUUAAGAUCUAGCUUUUGGGAUGCGGUUCUCCUAAGGUUGUAACAUCAAUGCUCAAACCAACGGAUAAUGGAAUAUCCGGUGGACUUUAGCCUUCUCCUCAUACUUUCCAUCAGUCUUGCAAUUCCUCCAUCAACUUUAUAUCAUAUAGACAGCUUUUCCUGAUCAAAUCAUCCCCUAAAAUACUCCAUAUAUGUUGCUCCUAAAAAGGUGUGGAAUAAGAAGGAUCACCGGAUUUGGAAUUGCUUUUCGCUUAAUCUAACGGGUCGAAACGACUUUUCCAAGAAUUCAAAAUUUGAAUUCUUGGGGCAUGAGAUGAGAACUGUUGCAAUCCCCUCAAAUUUUACUAUAAAAUGAGCCAUUGGGUUCCUAUUUUGAUUAGCAAAAACAAUAAAGAAUUAGAUUUUAUCAAAAUAGCAAAAUCCAUCAACAAAUUCAUAUUACUAUAAUACUUCGUAUUCUUUUUAUCUCUCUUUUCGAAAUCAAAGUCCGAGUUCGAGUUUGUAUCUUCGACGGAAAGCUUCAGUUCGCUGCUCUACACGAGAGCAAACAACUUGGAGUCUCAAGGCUAUAUUCUCGUACCCGUAUGGAGUCUCUAAAUGAGACUUGCCGUUACCCCUCAUUCUAGCAAGGAUUCAUAUUCCAUAUUCUUAAGUCGAACCGGCUAGCAGUCUAGUGCCUCUUUCCCUCUUCUCAAGCUUUAUUCUUUUUUAUAGACACUUAUUAUUAUUUUGUGUACAUUUCACAUAUUACUAUUUAAAGUUUGUGUUUAUAUGUUUCUUAUU